rnacentral:Y_RNA from 1 species
GGUUAGUCUAAGUGUAGUGGUGUUUACAACUAAUUGAUCAUAACUAGUUAUGGAUUCCUCUGUUCCUUCUCCGCUCCCACUGUUUUACUUGACCAGCAAAA